ACACCCACAUGCACUACAUGUGAGCCUUGGUGAGGUUCGAACCCUUGACCUAGUAAUAAGUUACCCUUGAGGAGAUGGUGCUUCUAAUGGUGUAUGUGAAUGUGAAGUUUGCUACUUGUGAUUGAUUUUGCUUGGUUUUGUUGAAGUGAGAACCUCAAAUAGGUCUUCAUCUUUGGUAAGUGUUCUACAUCUCUUCCAUAUUGGUGUAAACAAAGCAAUUCAAAUUCUCACUUUAUAGAUAGUCAAGAAUUUCAUUUUUUUUAGUUGAAUGUUGAUUUGCUCUCGGAUUUUCAUCAAUCAGUUUUUACUCAUUGAAUAUUUUAAGUUGAAACUUUUUGGGAUUGUGUGUUUCGAUGUUAGCUUUCUAAAAAGCUACCUCAUGUUGAAAUUGGACUAAAAUUUAGUUUCUUGUGGAUUUUUGAUUAGAAAGGGGUUCACUGCCUUGGCAAUUUUGUGUACUCCAAAAUUGCUCUCGGAUUUUCAUCAAUCAGUUUUUACUGGCUUCAUCUUUGAAGUUGAAACUUUUUGAGUUGUUUUUAUCGUGAUGUUAGCUUUCUAUAAAGCUAUCUUAUAUCAAAAUUGAAGUUGAUUUGAAUUUUUAGCGAGUUUUUGAUUA